GUUCAUAGCUCUGUGGUAGAGCCCUUGCCUAGCACAUGUGAGGCACUGGGUUCAAUCCCCAGCAGAACA
rnacentral:tRNA from 1 species